rnacentral:rRNA from 1 species
AUGAACGCUAGCGACAGGCUUAACACAUGCAAGUCGAGGGGCAGCGAGGGAGUGGCAACACUCCUGUCGGCGACCGGCGCACGGGUGAGUAACGCGUAUGCAACCUGCCCUUCACAGGGGGAUAACCGGGAGAAAUUCCGACUAAUACCGCAUACGUCCUCCGGGGGCAUCCCCUGGGGAUGAAAGAAUUAUCGGUGAAGGAUGGGCAUGCGUGAUAUUAGGUAGUUGGCGGGGCAACGGCCCACCAAGCCCACGAUAUCUAGGGGUUCUGAGAGGAAGGUCCCCCACAUUGGUACUGAGACACGGACCAAACUCCUACGGGAGGCAGCAGUGAGGAAUAUUGGUCAAUGGACGAGAGUCUGAACCAGCCAAGUCGCGUGAAGGAAGACGGAUCUAUGGUUUGUAAACUUCUUUAGUGCGGGAACAAAGCGGCGUCGUGACGCCGGAUGAGUGUACCGCAAGAAUAAGCAUCGGCUAACUCCGUGCCAGCAGCCGCGGUAAUACGGAGGAUGCGAGCGUUAUCCGGAUUUAUUGGGUUUAAAGGGAGCGCAGGCUGCGAGGCAAGUCAGCGGUCAAAUGUCGGGGCUCAACCCCGGCCUGCCGUUGAAACUGUCCUGCUAGAGUUCGAGUGAGGUAUGCGGAAUGCGUUGUGUAGCGGUGAAAUGCAUAGAUAUGACGCAGAACUCCGAUUGCGAAGGCAGCAUACCAACUCGCGACUGACGCUGAGGCUCGAAAGCGUGGGUAUCGAACAGGAUUAGAUACCCUGGUAGUCCACGCAGUAAACGAUGAAUACUAACUGUUCGGAGGGCGACCUCUGAGUGGUAAAGCGAAAGCGUUAAGUAUUCCACCUGGGGAGUACGCCGGCAACGGUGAAACUCAAAGGAAUUGACGGGGGCCCGCACAAGCGGAGGAACAUGUGGUUUAAUUCGAUGAUACGCGAGGAACCUUACCCGGGCUUGAAAGUUACUGACGAUUCUGGAAACAGGAUUUCCCUUCGGGGCAGGAAACUAGGUGCUGCAUGGUUGUCGUCAGCUCGUGCCGUGAGGUGUCGGCUUAAGUGCCAUAACGAGCGCAACCCCCGCGUCCAGUUGCCAGCGAGUGAAGUCGGGCACUCUGGACGGACUGCCGGCGCAAGCCGCGAGGAAGGCGGGGAUGACGUCAAAUCAGCACGGCCCUUACGUCCGGGGCGACACACGUGUUACAAUGGCGUGGAACAGAGGGAAGCCACCUGGCGACAGGGAGCGGAACCCGAAAACACGUCUCAGUUCGGAUUGGAGUCUGCAACUCGACUCCAUGAAGCUGGAUUCGCUAGUAAUCGCGCAUCAGCCAUGGCGCGGUGAAUACGUUCCCGGGCCUUGUACACACCGCCCGUCAAGCCAUGGGAGCCGGGAGUGCCUGAAGGCCGUAACCGCAAGGAGCGGUCAAGGGUAAGACUGGUGACUGGGGCU